UACGGAGGGUGCGAGCGUUGUCCGGAAUCAUUGGGCGUAAAGGGCGCGUAGGUGGCCCGGCAAGCGUGCGGUGAAAGCUCGGGGCUCAACCCCGAGUCGGCCGUGCGAACUGCUGGGCUCGAGCACUGUAGAGGCAGGCGGAAUUCCGGGUGUAGCGGUGGAAUGCGUAGAGAUCCGGAAGAGCACCGGUGGCGAAGGCGGCCUGCUGGGCAGUGGCUGACACUGAGGCGCGACAGCGUGGGGAG
rnacentral:rRNA from 1 species